rnacentral:rRNA from 1 species
GAUGAACGCUGGCGGCGUGCCUAAUACAUGCAAGUCGAGCGAACAGAUGAGAAGCUUGCUUCUCUGAUGUUAGCGGCGGACGGGUGAGUAACACGUGGGUAACCUACCUAUAAGACUGGGAUAACUCCGGGAAACCGGGGCUAAUACCGGAUAAUAUUUUGAACCGCAUGGUUCAAUAGUGAAAGACGGUUUCGGCUGUCACUUAUAGUUGGACCCGCGCCGUAUUAGCUAGUUGGUAAGGUAACGGCUUACCAAGGCGACGAUACGUAGCCGACCUGAGAGGGGGAUCGGCCACACUGGAACUGAGACACGGUCCAGACUCCUACGGGAGGCAGCAGUAGGGAAUCUUCCGCAAUGGGCGAAAGCCUGACGGAGCAACGCCGCGUGAGUGAUGAAGGUCUUCGGAUCGUAAAACUCUGUUGUUAGGGAAGAACAAAUUUGUUAGUAACUGAACAAGUCUUGACGGUACCUAACCAGAAAGCCACGGCUAACUACGUGCCAGCCGCCGCGGUAA